UACGAGGGGUGCAAGCGUUAAUCGGAAUUACUGGGCGUAAAGCGCGCGUAGGCGGCUAGGUAAGUCGGUUGUGAAAUCCCCGGGCUCAACCUGGGAAUUGCAGCCGAGACUGUCUGGCUAGAGUGUGGGAGAGGGUGGUGGAAUUCCCGGUGUAGCGGUGAAAUGCGUAGAUAUCGGGAGGAACAUCAGUGGCGAAGGCGGCCACCUGGCCCAACACUGACGCUGAGGUGCGAAAGCGUGGGUAGCAAACAGG
rnacentral:rRNA from 1 species